AUUAUUUUUUGUCUUAACAUGUAGUUUGCUCAUGUGACCACACGGCGGCGCCGCUCACCCGCGACAAGCGCUGAUCAACUUUAUUUGGUUAUUCUUUGGACAAAAUAACGUCUUCACUUUUUUGCAGUCACGACAAACAGGAACCCGACGACAUUGAGCAGUUACAGGAAGAAGGGGAAGUAGAGGAUCAGUCAGCUGGGACCAUUUCUGCUGUCCAACAGGCUGCGUUCUCUGACCACAAUGUCCAGUACCAGUUUUGCACAGACAAUAAUGGCGGUCAGGUGACAGACGACAACAUUGAUCCAUCCUCCGACGCCACUGCUGCUGUUAGCGUCGUCUCCGCCGCAGCAUUUGCAGGAGCACCUCAGGCUGUGAUCCAGAACCCUUUCAGUAACGUGGGCAGUCCUGUCGGGGAGACGG